rnacentral:rRNA from 2 species
UUUACAUUUGAGUGAGUGGCGAACUGGUGAGUAACACGUGGGAAACCUGCCCAGAAGCGGGGGAUAACACCUGGAAACAGAUGCUAAUACCGCAUAACAACUUGGACCGCAUGGUCCGAGCUUGAAAGAUGGCUUCGGCUAUCACUUUUGGAUGGUCCCGCGGCGUAUUAGCUAGAUGGUGGGGUAACGGCUCACCAUGGCAAUGAUACGUAGCCGACCUGAGAGGGUAAUCGGCCACAUUGGGACUGAGACACGGCCCAAACUCCUACGGGAGGCAGCAGUAGGGAAUCUUCCACAAUGGACGAAAGUCUGAUGGAGCAACGCCGCGUGAGUGAAGAAGGGUUUCGGCUCGUAAAACUCUGUUGUUAAAGAAGAACAUAUCUGAGAGUAACUGUUCAGGUAUUGACGGUAUUUAACCAGAAAGCCACGGCUAACUACGUGCCAGCAGCCGCGGUAAUACGUAGGUGGCAAGCGUUGUCCGGAUUUAUUGGGCGUAAAGCGAGCGCAGGCGGUUUUUUAAGUCUGAUGUGAAAGCCUUCGGCUCAACCGAAGAAGUGCAUCGGAAACUGGGAAACUUGAGUGCAGAAGAGGACAGUGGAACUCCAUGUGUAGCGGUGAAAUGCGUAGAUAUAUGGAAGAACACCAGUGGCGAAGGCGGCUGUCUGGUCUGUAACUGACGCUGAGGCUCGAAAGUAUGGGUAGCAAACAGGAUUAGAUACCCUGGUAGUCCAUACCGUAAACGAUGAAUGCUAAGUGUUGGAGGGUUUCCGCCCUUCAGUGCUGCAGCUAACGCAUUAAGCAUUCCGCCUGGGGAGUACGGCCGCAAGGCUGAAACUCAAAGGAAUUGACGGGGGCCCGCACAAGCGGUGGAGCAUGUGGUUUAAUUCGAAGCUACGCGAAGAACCUUACCAGGUCUUGACAUACUAUGCAAAUCUAAGAGAUUAGACGUUCCCUUCGGGGACAUGGAUACAGGUGGUGCAUGGUUGUCGUCAGCUCGUGUCGUGAGAUGUUGGGUUAAGUCCCGCAACGAGCGCAACCCUUAUUAUCAGUUGCCAGCAUUAAGUUGGGCACUCUGG